CCUACGGGAGGCAGCAGUGGGGAAUUUUGGACAAUGGGCGCAAGCCUGAUCCAGCAAUGCCGCGUGCAGGAUGAAGGCCUUCGGGUUGUAAACUGCUUUUGUACGGAACGAAACGGUGAGCUCUAAUAAAGUUUGCUAAUGACGGUACCGUAAGAAUAAGCACCGGCUAACUACGUGCCAGCAGCCGCGGUAAUACGUAGGGUGCGAGCGUUAAUCGGAAUUACUGGGCGUAAAGCGUGCGCAGGCGGUUAUAUAAGACAGAUGUGAAAUCCCCGGGCUCAACCUGGGACCUGCAUUUGUGACUGUAUAGCUAGAGUACGGUAGAGGGGGAUGGAACUCCGCGUGUAGCAGUGAAAUGCGUAGAUAUGCGGAGGAACACCGAUGGCGAAGGCAAUCCCCUGGACCUGUACUGACGCUCAUGCACGAAAGCGUGGGGAGCAAACAGGAUUAGAUACCCUGGUAGUCCACGCCCUAAACGAUGUCAACUGGUUGUUGGGUCUUCACUGACUCAGUAACGAAGCUAACGCGUGAAGUUGACCGCCUGGGGAAGUACGGCCGCAAGGUUGAAACUUCAAAGGAUUGACGGNNGAGAGNGCGAGCGACGACGAGGGAGAGG
rnacentral:rRNA from 1 species